GCGAGCGUGUGGGCGUUACUCUGAGCGCCCCCAGAAAGGGAGGGGCAGGCCGGCCGUGGGGGCCCGGGGUCUGCCAUUGGACACGACAAUGAUCUCACCCCGGAGCCCGCCCCUGGGGCGCCUCCUACACGGGAACAGAUGAGCCGGUGGUUGACCUCUGACCUUCCAGAAGGCUAGGCCAAGCCCUAUUAAACCUCUGGGCUAUGGGGUCCACUGUGAACCGCACUAGAGCUCUUACACAGCAGAUUUCUGUGCAUCUCGUCGCCUCUCUCAUUCCCGAAUUGCCCCAAAUUCGGUGGCACGUCUGGCCCUGAGGGGAGCACAUCACCCUCGUGAAGAGAAGGAUCUAGACGCUGGAAGAGACCUGGUCUCACAACACAUCCUGGGGGUUCCAGCGGCUAAGGCUCCCCUGGGCCCCGCCAUCUGGGAGCAGACAGCUGAGGAGUGGGCCUGGGCCCGGGAGCCUGUGGUGCUGAGAACGCAGCGCCUUGUUUUGGAGAUGUGUUCUGGGGUUGGAGGGGCAGCGGCCACUGUCAUUGGCUCGUCAGCCCCCCUUAGGGUGGAAGCCCUUGUUUUCCAUGUUUAUAGCCAGACAGCUAUGUAAAGGGCGGCGUGGAGCUGUCUGCACCGUGCUUUUCCUGGUACUGAGUGAAUGCCCAUCUUCACACCCUGGGCUGGCCGUGCAGGCCUGUGCCUGUGCUGGGGGCGAGGGUGUCGUGCUACCCCCGGAGCGUCCGCAGACCUGGACUUGGCUGGCUGUGCUUUCCCCGCGUCCUCCCACAGGAGGUGAUGGGUAGUGGCAGGAGCUGUGUCUUCCUGUCCCCGAGGGAGUUCACCAGCACACAGGAAGGUCUGGAGACGAGGCCACAUGUGGUCCACGUGAUCUGUGCUGCAGCUCAAGGAAAAACACCACCGUCCCUCUUCCUGCCCUGCUCCCGGGCACCUGCCAGGAGCCAGACGCCGCCCUCUCUGGGCACAGGACAGACGAGUUCCGGGGGCCUGGAGGGCCCACUCGGGUCCGCUUCCUGCCAGCCCCCGUGGACACCACCUGAGCGGCUCCCACAUCUGUCCUCUCCGCAGCCCAGGAACGCACCCCAGUGGAGGAAACAUGGGCGCCUCGCCUGGGAGUGGAGCCCACUACAAUGGAAGCUGUCAGUCCCUGGUGUUCUGAGCCGGGAGCAUGUUCUAGAAAGUAUCCACCAGGGAGUACCUGUGCCGUGGAGGGGGCUGAGACCAGGGUGGGCAGGGCAAGGCUGACCACAGGUGUCCACACUGGUAAAGGUGGGCUGGCAGAACCCCCAGAACAGCCACACAUGGCAGACAGGAGUCAGGCUUCUGAAAACCUGUGUGAAGCGGGUCUGCGUGGAUACCCUGCCUUGAUGAGAAGGAGGGGAUCGAGGGGCUGGGCCCACAACAAGGGAGACUGGUUGAGACCGCCCACCCUCCCUGUCUUCCCCGACUGACCGGCUGCAGCGCCCGCAGCUUCCCACAGGAAGGUCCUGCUGGCCGUGACGCCCGGCUCUGCGGGCCCCAUGGGGCAGGGCGGGCUGGGCCCUGGGGUGGUUUGAGCAGCCAUUGGUGGGAAAGGAGGCCAGGCCGGGUGUCCCAGGCAGGCUGGGGGCUGCUACGCCUGUGAGAGCGCCACAGCCCCUCGGGCACGGCCAGGGGACCCCCGCCCCCACGCAGGUGUGUCCCGAGCACCCGGGGGCUUCCGCAGGCUCUAAG